rnacentral:rRNA from 1 species
GACGAACGCUGGCGGCGUGCCUAAUACAUGCAAGUAGAACGCACAGUUUAUACCGUAGCUUGCUACACCAUAGACUGUGAGUUGCGAACGGGUGAGUAACGCGUAGGUAACCUGCCUGGCAGCGGGGGAUAACUAUUGGAAACGAUAGCUAAUGCCGCAUAAUAUUAAUUAUUGCAUGAUAAUUAAUUGAAAGGUGCAAUUGCACCACUACCAGAUGGACCUGCGUUGUAUUAGCUAGUAGGUGAGGUAACGGCUCACCUAGGCGACGAUACAUAGCCGACCUGAGGGGGUGAUCGGCCACACUGGGACUGAGACACGGCCCAGACUCCUACGGGAGGCAGCAGUAGGGAAUCUUCGGCAAUAGACGAAAGUCUGACCGAGCAACGCCGCGUGAGUGAAGAAGGUUUUCGGAUCGUAAAGCUCUGUUGUAAGAGAAGAGCGGGUGUGAGAGUGGAAAGUUCACACUGUGACGGUAUCUUACCAGAAAGGGACGGCUAACUACGUG